rnacentral:rRNA from 1 species
UACAGAGGGUGCAAGCGUUGUUCGGAAUCAUUGGGCGUAAAGCGCACGUAGGCGGCUCGCUAAGUUUGGUGUGAAAGCCCGGAGCUCAACUCCGGAAGUGCACUGAAUACUGGCAAGCUAGAGGACGAGAGAGGAUGGUAGAAUUCCUGGUGUAGGGGUGAAAUCCGUAGAUAUCAGGAGGAAUAUCAGUGGCGAAGGCGGCCAUCUGGCUCGUUUCUGACGCUCAGGUGCGAAAGCGUGGGGAGCAAACAGG